rnacentral:rRNA from 1 species
CGGCAGCACGGGAGCAAUCCUGGUGGCGAGUGGCGAACGGGUGAGUAAAGUAUCGGAACGUGCCCAGUCGUGGGGGAUAACGCAGCGAAAGUUGUGCUAAUACCGCAUACGAUCUAUGGAUGAAAGCGGGGGAUCGCAAGACCUCGCGCGAUUGGAGCGGCCGAUAUCAGAUUAGGUAGUUGGUGGGGUAAAGGCUCACCAAGCCGACGAUCUGUAGCUGGUCUGAGAGGACGACCAGCCACACUGGAACUGAGACACGGUCCAGACUCCUACGGGAGGCAGCAGUGGGGAAUUUUGGACAAUGGGCGCAAGCCUGAUCCAGCAAUGCCGCGUGCAGGAUGAAGGCCUUCGGGUUGUAAACUGCUUUUGUACGGAACGAAAAGGCUCUGGUUAAUACCUGGGGCACAUGACGGUACCGUAAGAAUAAGCACCGGCUAACUACGUGCCAGCAGCCGCGGUAAUACGUAGGGUGCGAGCGUUAAUCGGAAUUACUGGGCGUAAAGCGUGCGCAGGCGGUAAUGCAAGACAGAUGUGAAAUCCCCGGGCUUAACCUGGGAACUGCAUUUGUGACUGCAUUGCUGGAGUGCGGCAGAGGGGGAUGGAAUUCCGCGUGUAGCAGUGAAAUGCGUAGAUAUGCGGAGGAACACCGAUGGCGAAGGCAAUCCCCUGGGCCUGCACUGACGCUCAUGCACGAAAGCGUGGGGAGCAAACAGGAUUAGAUACCCUGGUAGUCCACGCCCUAAACGAUGUCAACUGGUUGUUGGGGAUUAACUUCCUCAGUAACGAAGCUA